rnacentral:rRNA from 1 species
CACGUAGGGCGCGAGCGUUGUCCGGAAUUAUUGGGCGUAAAGAGCUCGUAGGCGGCCUGUUGCGUCCGCUGUGAAAGCCCGGGGCUUAACCCCGGGUCGGCAGUGGAUACGGGCAGGCUAGAGGUAGGUAGGGGAGAAUGGAAUUCCCGGUGUAGCGGUGAAAUGCGCAGAUAUCGGGAGGAACACCGGUGGCGAAGGCGGUUCUCUGGGCCUUACCUGACGCUGAGGUGCGAAAGCGUGGGGAGCAAACAGG